AUUGAACGCUGGCGGCAUGCCUUACACAUGCAAGUCGAACGGUAACAGGUCUUCGGAUGCUGACGAGUGGCGAACGGGUGAGUAAUACAUCGGAACGUGCCUAGUAGUGGGGGAUAACUACUCGAAAGAGUGGCUAAUACCGCAUGAGAUCUACGGAUGAAAGCAGGGGAUCGCAAGACCUUGUGCUACUAGAGCGGCCGAUGGCAGAUUAGGUAGUUGGUGGGAUAAAAGCUUACCAAGCCGACGAUCUGUAGCUGGUCUGAGAGGACGAUCAGCCACACUGGGACUGAGACACGGCCCAGACGCCUACGGGAGGCAGCAGUGGGGAAUUUUGGACAAUGGGCGCAAGCCUGAUCCAGCAAUGCCGCGUGCAUGAUGAAGGCCUUCGGGUUGUAAACUGCUUUUGUACGGAACGAAAAGCCCUGGGUUAAUACCCUGGGGUCAUGACGGUACCGUAAGAAUAAGCACCGGCUAACUACGUGCCAGCCGCCGCGGUAAGAC
rnacentral:rRNA from 1 species